UCGAGCGGUAACAGAUCUAGCUUGCUAGAUGCUGACGAGCGGCGGACGGGUGAGUAACGCGUAGGAAUCUACCCAGUAGCGGGGGAUAAGCCAGAGAAAUUUGGUCUAAUACCGCAUACGCCCUUCGGGGGAAAGCAGGGGCUCUUCGGACCUUGCACUAUUGGAUGAGCCUGCGUGAGAUUAGCUAGUUGGUGAGGUAAUGGCUCACCAAGGCGACGAUCUCUAGCUGGUCUGAGAGGAUGAUCAGCCACACUGGGACUGAGACACGGCCCAGACUCCUACGGGAGGCAGCAGUGGGGAAUAUUGCACAAUGGGCGAAAGCCUGAUGCAGCCAUGCCGCGUGUGUGAAGAAGGCCUUAGGGUUGUAAAGCACUUUCAGUCGUGAGGAAAGGUGUGUGCUUAAUACGUACAUACUGUGACGUUAGCGACAGAAGAAGGACCGGCUAACUCCGUGCCAGCAGCCGCGGUAAUACGGAGGGUCCGAGCGUUAAUCGGAAUUACUGGGCGUAAAGCGCGCGUAGGUGGAUUGGUCAGUCAGAUGUGAAAGCCCAGGGCUCAACCUUGGAACUGCAUCUGAUACUGCUAGUCUAGAAUACAGUAGAGGGUAGUGGAAUUUCCUGUGUAGCGG
rnacentral:rRNA from 1 species